rnacentral:rRNA from 1 species
UACGGGAGGCAGCAGUGGGGAAUAUUGCACAAUGGGCGCAAGCCUGAUGCAGCCAUGCCGCGUGUAUGGAAGAAGGCCUUCGGGUUGUAAAGUACUUUCAGUCGUGAGGAAGGUGUUAAGGUUAAUAACCUUAGCAAUUGACGUUAGCGACAGAAGAAGCACCGGCUAACUCCGUGCCAGCAGCCGCGGUAAUACGGAGGGUGCGAGCGUUAAUCGGAAUUACUGGGCGUAAAGGGCACGCAGGCGGUUAAUUAAGUUGGAUGUGAAAUCCCCGGGCUUAACCUGGGAAUGGCAUUCAAGACUGGUUAGCUAGAGUCUUGUAGAGGGGGUAGAAUUCCAUGUGUAGCGGUGAAAUGCGUAGAGAUGUGGAGGAAUACCGGUGGCGAAGGCGGCCCCUGGGACAAAGACUGACGCUCAUGUGCGAAAGCGUGGGGAGCAAACAGGAUUAGAUACC